rnacentral:rRNA from 1 species
CUACGGGCCGCAGCAGUGGGGAAUAUUGGACAAUGGGGGAAACCCUGAUCCAGCCAUGCCGCGUGUGUGAAGAAGGCCCGAGGGUUGUAAAGCACUUUCAGUUGGGAAGAAGGGUAGUUAGCUAAUACCUAGCUAUCUUGACAUUACCUUCAGAAGAAGCACCGGCUAACUCUGUGCCAGCAGCCGCGGUAAUACAGAGGGUGCAAGCGUGUAUUCGGAAUUACUGGGCGGAAAGCGCGCGUAGGCGGAUUGUUAAGUCAGUUGUGAAAGCCCUGGGCUCAACCUAGGAAUUGCAUCUGAUACUGGCAGUCUAGAGGUUAAGAGAGGGAAGGGGAAUUCCAGGUGUAGCAGUGAAAUGCGUAGAUAUCUGGAGGAACAUCAGUGGCGAAGGCGCCUUCCUGGCUUAAAACUGACGCUGAGGUGCGAAAGCGUGGGUAGCGAACGGGAUUAGAUACCCCAGUAGUC